rnacentral:rRNA from 1 species
UACAGAGGUCUCAAGCGUUGUUCGGAUUCAUUGGGCGUAAAGGGUGCGUAGGGGGCGGGGUUAGUCAGGUGUGAAAUCUCGGGGCUCAACCCCGAAACUGCACUUGAUACUGCCUUGCUAGAGUACUGGAGAGGAGAUUGGAAUUUACGGUGUAGCAGUGAAAUGCGUAGAUAUCGUAAGGAAGACCAGUGGCGAAGGCGAAUCUCUGGACAGUUACUGACACUGAGGCACGAAGGCCAGGGGAGCAAACGGG